CGAGAAUACUUCGUGAGUCCCUGGUUGAUGAAAUCAUCUGAAGCAUAACCAAGAAAAGCCUCUAGGGUUGAAGCAAGCAACCGUACUAAAACGACACAGGUAGGCGAGGCGAGUAGCCUAAGGCGCGCGGGAGAACGGUGGUUAAGGAACUCUGCAAAUUUUCCCCGUAACUUCGGGAUAAGGGGCGCCCUGCGAUGUGUUAAAGCAUUGCGGGGCCGCAGGAAUUGGCUCUAGCGACUGUUUAUCAAAAACACAGGACUCUGCGAACUCGUAAGAGGAUGUAUAGAGACUGACGCCUGCUCGGUGCCGGUAAGUUAAGGAAGAGGGUGAGGCGAAGCUGAAGCCCGCAACCGAAGCUCCGGUAAACGGCGGCCCUAACUAUGAGGGUCCUAAGGUAGCGAAGUUCCUUGUCGGGUAAGUUCCGACCUGCAUGAAUGGCGUAACGACUGGAGCACUGUCUCAACCACCGACCCGGUGAAGUUGUAGCCGUGGUGAAGAUGCCACGUUCCCGCAUCGUGACGGAAAGACCCUAUGAACCUUU
rnacentral:ncRNA from 1 species